rnacentral:rRNA from 1 species
UGCCUAAAACAUAACAUUAAUGCACCGGAUCCCAUUAAAACUCCGCAUUUAAGUGUGCUCGGGCUAUAGUAGUACUGGGAUGAGUGAUUUCUCAUGAUGUCCUAGUAUUUUACAUGC